rnacentral:rRNA from 1 species
AUACGUAGGGAGCGAGCGUUGUCCGGAAUUACUGGGCGUAAAGGGCGCGUAGGCGGCGCUUCAAGUCGUCUGUCAAAUGGGAGGGCUUAACCCUUUUUCGCAGACGAAACUGGAGAGCUUGAGAAGCAGAGAGGCAAACAGAAUUCCUGGUGUAGCGGUGAAAUGCGUAGAUAUCAGGAAGAAUACCAGUGGCGAAGGUGGUUUGCUGGAUGCAUACUGACGCUGAAGCGCGAAAGCCAGGGGAGCAAACGGGAUUAGAUACCCCGGUAGUCCUGGCAGUAAACGAUGUAUGCUGGGUGUGAGACUAGCGAUAGUUUCGUGCCGAAGUUAACGCGAUAAGCAUACCGCCUGGGGAGUACGGUCGCAAGAUUGAAACUCAAAUGAAUUGACGGGG